UAAUACGGAGGGUGCAAGCGUUAAUCGGAAUUACUGGGCGUAAAGCGCACGCAGGCGGUUUGUUAAGUCAGAUGUGAAAUCCCCGGGCUCAACCUGGGAACUGCAUUUGAAACUGGCAAGCUAGAGUCUCGUAGAGGGGGUAGAAUUCCAGGUGUAGCGGUGAAAUGCGUAGAGAUCUGGAGGAAUACCGGUGGCGAAGGCGGCCCCCUGGACGAAGACUGACGCUCAGGUGCGAAAGCGUGGGGAGCAAACAGGAUUAGAUACCCUGGUAGUCCACGCUGUAAACGAUGUCGAUUUGGAGGUUGUGCCCUUGAGGCGUGGCUUCCGGAGCUAACGCGUUAAAUCGACCGCCUGGGGAGUACGGCCGCAAGGUUA
rnacentral:rRNA from 1 species